rnacentral:rRNA from 1 species
AACGAACGCUGGCGACAGGCUUAACACAUGCAAGUCGAACGCCCCGCAAGGGGAGUGGCAGACGGGUGAGUAACACGUGGGAACGUGCCCUAAGGUUCGGAAUAUUCCCGGGAAACUGGGAGCAAUACCGAAUGUGUCCGAGAGGAGAAAGAUUUAUCGCCUUAGGAUCGGCCCGCGUCGGAUUAGCUAGUUGGUAGGGGUAAUGGCCUACCAAGGCGACGAUCCGUAGCUGGUCUGAGAGGACGACCAGCCACACUGGGACUGAGACACGGCCCAGACUCCUACGGGAGGCAGCAGUGGGGAAUCUUGGACAAUGGGCGCAAGCCUGAUCCAGCCAUGCCGCGUGGAUGAUGAAGGCCUUAGGGUUGUAAAAUCCUUUCGCCGAGGACGAUAAUGACGGUACUCGGAGAAGAAGCUCCGGCUAACUUCGUGCCAGCAGCCGCAGUAAUAC